CAUUCGUGAAGACGUGGUGGAUACUCAAUCAUUCAAUGUACUUCAAUCUCUUGUCGCUGAUUAUGUUUUCAAUAGAGCAUUGUCAAAAAGGUUUGUCGUGUCUAGAACAUUCAUAGAUGUGUUGUUACAAUUUUAGCCUUCAUAUGCUUCCAAUUUAUUCAAGUUUGUUUGAACAUAUUAUUAUUUUAGUGAGGUUCUUGUUGACUUUGGUCAUGAACAUGGAGUUCGUGGAGAUUUUCACUGCUUACGUCCUAGACAAAAUUUGAUGGAUGUUCAAAUGAUUUUGUGCGGGAGUCCUCAUCCUUUUUUCGAUAGAAAAACAUCCAUCGUGAGUAAGUACAUUAGCGAAUUGGAUGAUUGCGAGAAGCUAUUUAUUCCAAUGCAUGACGAUUGCCCUAGUC